GCUGAUAUUAGUCUUGAUGUUGGACAGGCAUGUAAAUAUGUAAAAUAGCCCUUAAAUAAUGAGCUGGAAACCUGUUUCAAACUGUAAGGAGUAGAGAGUACCGAGUGUUUGGACGUGUUGGUAGAAAAAUAGAUGUUCAGGUAAAGUACAGAUCCCUGAUAAGAUUAUUGACGACAGUUAAAUACCUCAUUUUUAGAGUCCAUUUCUGCAUAUUUUUGUCCUGAAACCCAAAAAGUGAGAUAUUCGUCUGAGUCCCUCUCACAGAGGGUUUAAAAGACUCCUCCGUAUCUGUUCUUUCUCUCUGCAAUGUUCCAGCGGCUACAGCUGAUAUCAGCCCUCUCCUCCACACACCCCAGGGCAAGAAAAGAAUAAGAAAAAAAAAAAGCUCCAUCUUUAACUUUAAAUGAGCUGUAAUGGCGUCUGGGGGCCUUUCCCCAGAUCCAAUACGGCCCCGCAUCCUGCAGACACACGGGGGCUUUUCAAUUCGCAGGGCCAAAGGUGCGAGUAUUAUCUGGAGAUUCAUUCUCAGGGCUCAAAUGGAAGAAUGAAAAGUGAGGCUUAACUCACCUGCCUUUUUGUGAGCUUGAUGCAGCUCAUUCUCCAUUCAGCAGCAGCAAUCUUCAAACCAAACCAGGAGGAGGAGGAGGAGGAGGAGGAGGAGGAGAGAGUGCCUUUUAGUCAGAUGACUUCCCCAUCAGGACAGGCACAGGUGGUUAGUCAUGUGAUUUACCAAUUUGGUUCUAGGUCAUAAAAAAAGAGGAAAUUUGUUAAAUCUCUGAAUACUUCGUUUUCGGAUAACCAUUAUUCAGUAAUAGUGUUGUCAAUGGUAGCAUGAAUUCUCCAAAGGUGUGGACUCGAGUCAUGUCAGACUUCGAACUGCAUGUAACAGUUAUGUAAUACGGAAUGUACUCACUGCGGAUCCUGUAUAUUUUCAGAGUAGGAGCUCAACCUGCAGCUGCUUUAAUGUCAACUUUCAAACUGUUCUUUCACCACAGUGGAGAUUCUGUGAUGUCACAAAGUUCCGGAACUCCCUUGAAUCACAAAGUUCCGGAACUCCCUUGAAGUUCCGGAACUCCCUUGAUGUUGACGUUGAUGUUGUUGAGAUGGGUUCUCUUUGGCCAGGCUUCCAGAGAGCUGACCAAUCAGAAGAAAGUGGGUUUGUCAGGAGGAGGAACUUAAAGAGACAGAAACAAGACUGAAGCAACAGGUGAGAGUAUUUGAAGACCAGCCUGAGGUAAUCAGGGUUUCAUUUGCAAUAAAUCAUAUAAAGUUAAUAUAGAAAAUGAAACUAAACAAAGGCUGAAAAAUUCGAACCAUACCCCCUCUUUAGCUUUAACAGUGUAAGUAUUUUAACUUAAACCUAGAUCUUUUCUGUGAAACUGUACCACGUAUUUUGAUGACUGUUGGUGUCAAUUUUGAUGCCUCCUGUGGACCGGGUGAUCUCAUGACUGAUUUUUCACAUACAUGUGAAAGCAGUGAUUUUAGCCAUCAAAGUCUCAUUGUCCUUGCUCGUGACUGUCAAACACUCACUGUGAAUAUUUGUAGUGAAAAAGUUAAGAGAGUCUGUUUUUCCAGCCUGCUGUCAAUAAUCUAAUAGUCUACCACCCGCCCCCUCACAAAGGUUACAGACAUCAGAAAUUACAGCAUCAAAACUGUCAAUCUGGGUAUCUGAAACAGACAGUGACGCGACCGUUGGUUAACCACAAACUAGCCAAUCAGAUAUCAGCUCCAUUGUCUUCCUGCCAAAAGUUACACCAUUUCUGAUGUAGAUGUAAUUCGAAUUAAGGUUACGCUCAUCCCAAAGAGGCUCGGGGCGUAAUACCUGAGAAUUGUCGGGGGUUUUGACCAAUCAGAAUCAAGUAUUUGCACCAGAUGAAUAAGAUUUCAUAGAAGCUGCUGCCAUAAGUUAUGUUGAGUGUUUACGUGGCUCAUACAGUCUAAAAUACCACAAAAUCACCUGUAAGAGAAAAAAGCCUUGGCUGUCUGUCUGUCUGUGAUCUGGACAUGCUUUAUCCUUGCAAAUUUAAUUGAUAAAAGACGCUCAAUUUACCCCCACAGAUGUACAAAAUGUAAUUUUUUCCAGAUAAUUUCAAUGUCUGCAGUCAGUCUGGCUGAUUCUCCUCCAGUUUUACACCCAAAUCCAGCGUGGGAGGCAGGGCCGAGGAGUGCACAUCACAUUUUCUGGUUUUUAUUUUAAAGCUGACGUGCUGUCAGAAGAAGUGUUGCUUGGUGGCUGGAUAUGUGCCGAAAUGAAGAGCAAACCUGUUAGUGAGUAAACACAUUAUUUGAUGUUUUGUCUGCUCUCAUUUUCUCUCACGUCUUCAGUAUUUUACAAGUAUAUCCUCCUCUUCUUCUUAGUCUCCAUUCGACGCCUCGGCUCUGCCCUCGGUCCUCGCUUUCACUCCUGUUCCUCUCUGUCUUUAUUCAGUUUAGGUUUGAUUCAGUUUGCUUUAUUGGCGUGAACGUUGGAGGACCAGAGCAGCUGAAUCGGAUGAAUAAUAGUCAUACAAAAUAUCCACAACAUGAAAUAAGUGGCUCUGCAUCCCUCUCUCCCUCUUUUGUCACACUCUGUCAUAUUCGGCUGCCCUCCGCUGUCUCGCUUACACACUUGUAGUCUCGCCGCACACACUCGCAGAGCCUCCCAGCCCUCUCAGGGUUUUUUCUCCAUCACUGCUCAGAUUAAUCAGCAGCUUCCUGCCAGUGUCUGACAGUUUUCCCCUAGUUGGCCGGCCUCCAAAUCAGACAGUGUUAGACAUCAGCUCACUGUCCUGUCUGACUCUCUCUCUCUCUCUUUCUCGCUCGCUCUGUUUCUUUUACAAUCCCAUUUUUUCCUGAACUUUCUCAGUAUUUUUGCCACCCUACAGGAAUGAAAAUAGCAGCACCGUUUUUCUGUAUGUAACAUGAAUGACAUUCAUCAGUUCAGUCUGUGCACAUUAUCAUUAUUUUACACACACAGCACUGAAGCAGCAGGAAAACUGUGUACCUAACAUUAUGGCUGUCAGUCAGUUAAUGUUAAAAUAUCCUGAUUAAUUCCUGAUCUUCAUUAGUUUAUCACCAUUAAUCACAUUUGUCACAUCUCAUUAACAUUUUGAUUCACUGAUCGGAGCAGGAGUCCCACGCUGCAGACACAGCGGAGCUCUGUUAGCAUGUGUGCAGUUGGACUUUGGUUGGACCUCUGUUAGCUAGAGUGGGAGGCUGGGCUUCUGCUUGGUUACUGGAAAACAAGGCGAUCUCAGCAUGAUCCUCAGCUAGGAAUUAUUGUGGUUCAACUUUGGCAAUUUUAUUUCACCAGUGUCCUUGAUUUGGGAAUGAGCCGAACUCAACUUUUAGAUUUACUACUCAGUUAAAUGCUGACGGCUACACCAGUCUGCUCUGAAACCAUUACUAGAGGUAGGAGACAGCUUCAAGGUUCUUAAACUAUCAAUUACAGGGUUUCUUUUUAAAGCACUGCCAUGCUAAGAAAUGUCCAAUUAGUGUGAGUAUGGUGUGCAGCUAUUCUGAGAUCAUUUUGAUAACUCGCUGAUGUGCAGCGAUCCCUGAUUAAUGCAACAGAAUCACUCAGUGUGUUUACAUGCACAGCUUCAUCGGACUAAGCUCAUCAUUUGUUUUUUUCACCGAAUCGGACUUCUCUCCUUGUCCGCGUAUACAUGCAGGUGAGAAAAUCGAAUUGUUGACGUGAACAUGUCCUCCUCCCCAACACUAGGGGGCAGUAUGGCUCUUUCAGCG
rnacentral:lncRNA from 1 species